GGAGUGCUGAAAUGUUCACGAAUAUCAGGCAGAACAGGAGUUAACAACAUGGACUGGACUAAUAGAAGACUAAAGUAAUCUUUUUGACUUUUUGCUUAAAAGGAUCCUCUGUUUUGUUUUUCAGAGCCAAUAAAACUUUUCUUUUGAGUGAUUUGCAGCUUUUAACAAACUGAACCUGCUUAUUUCUGUGAACCAACCAGUGAUCUCUUAUGGCUGUUCAAAAGUAACAAGAGAGCAGCAACAUGGAUGCAGGGGGAGGCCAUAAUCAUAAGGGAGUUAACACAAGAAGAAACAACAAAAUUCCACAUGUUUUCAUGGAUAAGUGGGAGCUUAACACUGAGCAUGGGAACAUGAACAUGAACACGAGAAAUAUAGACACUGUGGACUCCUAGAGGUAGGUGGUAGGGAAUGGAAUGUUGGUUGAAAAACUACUUAUUGAACGUUAGGCUCACUACCUGGGUCCAAAAUUGCCAUGUAACAAUCCUACACAUGUAACCCCUGUAUCUCCCUGUAUCUUAAACAAAAGUUGAAAUUCGGAAAAGAAACUGCCUUCACGGUAUCCCUUAUGUGUUGCUAUAUCGUGUUUUCAGUUUCAUUUGUCUCAAGAUAUUUCAUGAUUUCCCUUUUUUGAUCCAUUGCUUAUUCAUGUGUGUGUUGUUUUGUUUCCACAUAUUUGUGUAUUUUCCAAUUGUCCUGUUGUUAUUAAUUUCUAGAUCCAUCUUAUUCUGAUUGAAAAAGAGGUUUGCUAUUAUUUCAAUCUUCUUAAAUUUGUUAAGACUUGGUUUGUGGUGUAACAUGUAACUUGUCCUGGAGAAUGUUCCAGGUGUGCUUGAAAAGGAUGUCUAUUCUGCAAAAUGGAUAUGCAAAAAUGGCUAGCAUUCCUAUACACCAACAAUAGGCAAGCAGGGAGCCAAAUCAUGAUUGAACUCCCAUUCACAAUUUCUACACAAAGACGGAAAUACCUAGAAACACAGCUAACAAGGGAAAUGAAGGACCUCUUUAAGGAGAACCACAAACCACUUCUCAAAGGAAUCAGAGAGAACACAAAAAAAAUAGAAAAGCAUUCCAUGCUCAUGGCCAGGAAGAAUCAAUAUCAUAAAAACGGCCAUACUGCCCAAAGUAAUUUCUAGAUUCAAUGCUAUUUCCAUUAAACUACCAUUGACAGACUUCACAGAAAUAGAGAAAAAAAAAAAAAAAACGACUUUAAAAUUCAUAGGGAACCAAAAAAGAGCCCGAAUAGCCAAGACAAUCCUAAGCAAAAAGACCAAAGCUGCUACCUGACUUUAAACUAUACUACAAGACUGCAGUAAACAAAACCACAUGGUACUGGUACAAGGACAGACACACAGACCAAUGGAACAGAAUAGAGAAUGCAGAAAUAAGACCACACACCUACAACCAACUGAUCUUCGACAAACCUGACAAAAAUUAGCAAUGGGGAAAGAAUUCCUUAUUUAAUAAAUGAUGCUGAAAGAACUGGCUAGCCAUAGGCAGAAAACUGAAACUGGACCCCUUCCCCACACCAUAUGCAAAAAUUAACUCAAGACGGAUUAAAGACUUAAACGUAAAACCCAGAACUAUAAAAACCCUAGAAGAAAAUCUAGAUAAUACCAUCCAGGACAUAGGCAUGGGCAAAGAUUUAAUGAUGAAAACACCCAAAGCAAUUGCAACAAAAGCAAAAACUGACAAAUGGGAUCUAAAUAAACUAAAGAGCUUCUGCACAGCAAAAGAAACUAUCAUCAGAGUGAACAGACAACCUACAGGAUGGGAGAAAUGCUUUUUCAAUCUAUCCAUCUAGCAACGGUCUAACAUCCAGAGUCUGCAAGGAACGUAAGCAAAUUUACAAGAAAAGAUAUAACCAUUAAAACGUGGGCAAAGGACAUGAACAGACACUUCUCAAAAGAAGACAUACAUGCAGCCAACAAACAUAUGAAAAAAUGCUGAACAUCACUGAUCAUCAGAGAAAUGCAAAUAAAAACCACAAUGAGAUAGCACGUCACACCAGUCAGAAUGGCUAUUAUUAAAAAGUCAAGAAACAACAGAUGCUGUCAAGGUUGCAGAGAAAAAGGAACGCUUUUACACUGUUGGUAGGAGCGUAAAGUAGUUCAACCAUCGUGGAAGACAGCAUGGCGAUUCCUCAAAAGACCUCCAGGGAGAAAUACCAUUUGACCCAGCAAUCCCAUUACUGAGUAUAUACCCAAAGGAAUAUAAAUAAUUUUAUUAUAAAGAUACAUGCAAUGUGUGAGUUCAUUACAGCUCUAUUCAAAAUAGCAAAGAUAUGGAAUCUACCUAAAUGCCCAUCCGUGGUAGACUGGAGAAAGAAAAUGUGGUACAUAUACACCAUGGGAUACUAUGCAGCCAUAAAAAGGAACAAGAUCAUGUCCUUUGCAAGGACAUGGGUGGAGCUGGAAGCAAUUAGGCUCAGCAAACUAAUGCAGAAACAGAAAACCAAACAACGCAUGUUCUCACUUACAAGGGGGAGCUGAAUGAUGAGAACACAUUUACACAUGGAGGGAACAACACACACUGUGGCCUGUCAGGACGGUGGGGUCAGGGAGAGCAUCAGGAAGAAUAGCUAAUGGACACUGGGCUUAAUACCUAGGUUAUGAGGUGAUCGGUGCAGCAAACCACCACGGCACACGUUUACCUACGUAACAAACCUGCACAUCCUGCACACGUGAACUUAAAAUAAAAGUUGAAGACAAAAACAAAAAAAAAGAAGAAGAAGAAGAAAAGAGUGUGUAUUCUGGGACUGUUGGUUGCAGUGUUCUGCGUAUAUCUAAGUUCAUCUGUUUAUAAUGUUGUUCAAGUUUGUUAUUUCCUCAUCAAUUUUCUGUAUGCAUGUCCUAUGCAUUGUUAAAAGUGCAGUAUUAAAAUCUCCUAUGAUUAUUAAAUUGCUGUAUAUUUUUACCUCUCAGUUAUUCACUGUAUGCUUUAUAUAUUUAUGUUCUCUGAUGUUUGGUAUGUAUGUGUUUAUAAUUAUUAUAUCUCGUUGGUGAGUAGGUUCUUUAAUUUUAUACCAUAUACAUAAAUCAACUUAAAAUAGAUUAAAGAUUUAAGUAUAAGACCUGAAACUGUUCAACUCUUAAACAAGAGUAUAGAUAAAAACUCGCUGACAUUAACCUGGGCAAUGAUUUUUUUGAUAUGUCACUAAAAUCAAAGGCAACAAAAGCAAAAAGAUACAAGUGGUAUUACAUCAAACUGGAGAGCCUCUACACAGCAGAGAAAACAAUCAACAAAAUAAAAUACAGCCUAUUGAAAGGGAGAAAUGUUUAUAAAUGCUAUAUCUGUUACUGCGUUAGUAUAAAAAUAUAUAACAAAUUCCUGCAACUCAAUAGCACAAAUCAAACAACACAAUUUAAAAAAUCAUCAAAGGACUUGAAUAGACACUUCUCCAAUGAAUACAUACAAGCAGCCAACAAGUAUAUGAAAAGGUGUUCCACAUCACUAACCUGAGAAAUGCAAAUCAAACCAUGGUGAGAUGUCACUUCACACUAGUUAGGAUGGCUACUAUGAAAAAGACGGGAGAUAACAAGUUACGAAGAAAAUGUUAAAUAAUGGGACCCCUUGUACUCUGUUGGUGGGAAUGUAAAAUGGUGCAGCUGCUAUGGAAAAUAGUAUGGAGGUUCUGCAAAAGAUUAAAAAUAGGACUACUAUAUGACCCAGCAAUUCCACUGCUGUGCAUAUACCCCGCAAAAUAGAAAUCAAAAUCCUGAAGAGAAAUUUGUACUCCCAUGUUCAUUACAACAUCAUUCACGGUAGCCAACAUAUAGAAACAAUCCAAGUAGCCAUUGACUGAUGAAUAGUGAAACAAAUGUGGUAUAUACAAAAUAGAAUGUUAUUCAGACUUCACAAAGGAGAGUAUCAUGCCGUAAACAACAACAUAGAUAAUCAUAAAGGAUAUUAUGCUAAGGGAAAUAAGCCAGUUAGAGAAAGAUAAACACUGCAUGACUGUCCUUGUAUAUCUGAAAUAUUAAAAAUUAAAGAAGCAGAGAAUAGAAUGGUGAUUUCAAGGGGCUAGUGGCAUUAAAAAUGGGAGGUUGUUGUUUACCAGGUUUAAAAUUUUUGUUAUGCAGGAUAAAUAACUCCUAGAGAUUUGCUGUACAACCCAGUAACAGUAGUUACCAGUAUUGUAUUGUACAAUUAAAAAUUUGUUAAAUGGAACUUCUUAUGUUAAGUGGACUUACCACAAUAAGAAUAUAUGGUACAAAUAUUGAGCUCCGUGUAAUAGAUUUGUUCUGUAUAGAUUUAUGGGUUAGAAAUUUCAAAA
rnacentral:lncRNA from 1 species